AUAACUUCAGGAAGAGAAUGAGCAGCCAGACCAGAUGGACUCCUUUGAAAUGAAGAUCCUGUCUUCAUGCAAAUGCUGUGAAUGAUAAAAGGACAAGAGGGAAAAGUGGCAGAAAUUACACAAGCAGGAUUGUAUCUAAAUACAGAGCACAAUUACUCCUAGUCCCAUUCCAUGCCUGGAGCAUGGUUAAUAGGAGAGACCCUUUACUUAUCCAAUCAGCCUGUUAAGACUUCCCAGGGUGUCUUUUCAAGAUGAGAUUCCACAGAGAUAUCUAAGCAUGACACCUUUAUCCUGUCACACUCAAUGACUUUGAGUCUGACUUCUCAACGGGCAUUGGUUUCUUCAGUGGAUCAAGAAUAGCAUUUGGUUUCUUCUAAUGCUUUGGUAUUUUCCCCAGAUUAUUC
rnacentral:lncRNA from 1 species